GUCAACUCUGUGAACUGCAACACCAGCUGGAAGAUCAACCUGUUUAUGCAGUUUCGGGACCACCUGGAGGAGGUGUUGAAAGGGGGAGACGUGGUGCGGCUGUUCCAUGCGGAGCAGGAGAAGUUCCUGACGUGUGACGAGUACAAGGGCAAGCUGCAGGUGUUCCUGCGAACCACACUGCGCCAGUCUGCCACCUCGGCCACCAGCUCCAAUGCUCUCUGGGA
rnacentral:lncRNA from 1 species